rnacentral:lncRNA from 1 species
GAAAUACUUUAAUUCUGUUAUGCAUGUAUUAAUGCCAUAGUAUUAUAUCAUAAUCUGUAUAGUAAGAAAAUUAAGAACAAAAUUGAUUUUCAAAUUUUAACACACAUAUAAUUCUGUACUAGUUAAUAUUAAGUAGUUUUAAAGCAUAGGUUUUUUGAGUUUCAAAUAUAAUAAAAUCAUAAGUUUAAUAAAUAUAAACAAUAUUUAGCAUUUAUAUAGUAACUGUACAUAAUUACAUUUUUAUAGUGUGAAUUAAAGCAAAUGUUUUAUACAAAAAUAACAGCCAGUAGUAUUUAUUUUAGUACUCUUUGGCAAAAUUAAAACCAGCAUUCUUCAUUUAUCAUAACACUUCAUAAAAAUAUCUGUAACUAUAAAAGUUACCAGAUGGCCAAAUGAAAAAGUAGUCUUUUAUCACUUUGCAGAUUCUAGAUUCCAUAUGUCCAGUUUUUUAAUGAAGAGUAUUAAAUACCCAUCUUCAAUCUUCCAUCUUGGGUAGGCCAGCCUAUAAUGGAAUCUAAAAGUGGGUCACUGUUAGACAUAUCUUGUGUAUAAUUCAAUGCUUAACUAAAACUUAAUUUAACCUAAUCAUAAUGUUGGCCAGAUUGACUGAAUGGAGAUCUAGAAUUGAAUCUGGGACUAUUCUGGAGGACUCAGGUUCAAUUCCAUGUCACGUUCUUUGGAAAGUUUAUUCUUACAAUCCAGACCUGGUCUGUCAAUCUGUCUUCCACCAUUUAGCUGACCUCCACUGGAAUAGGCAACCUAUGAUAGGAUCUGUUUCAUCCCACCAUUUGGUACUUUACAGAAUGUAAAGUGGCAUUUUCUAUUAAAAAAAUAUACCUAAUUGUAAUUGUCAAUUUUUAAGGCCAAAAAAAAAUUUUUCUUAUUAUUAUUUUUGAUAUAGGAAAAAAAAUUAUG